CUCCAGAAACCAAAUUUUGACCUGCUUUGCACUUCAAACAAUAGCUUCUGUUAUGUAAAUAGUUGUGGGGUUUUCAAGGAUAAUGUUGCUAAAUUACAAGGAAAGUUCUAUACAUGAGAAAGCUCUUCGUGGAUAAACAUUAGAGGCAGGAAAUCUGAUCUACACAACACCCAAAGCAGAAGACAAUGGAAGUAAUGAUGGUUCAGGAAUCCCUUUAACUCCCUGACACCUUAGUCGGCCUUCUUUGAGAUUCCUUCUGGAUGGAUGGCCCCCGCACCCCACACCGAGUUCCCGCACCCAGAGCUACACCGAAUGCUUCUGUAAAGAGAAGAGAAGACAUGGAAGGAGACACACUGAAGAAGGCCGUGGAAAGACAGAAACAGAG